rnacentral:rRNA from 1 species
GACGAACGCUGGCGGCGUGCUUAACACAUGCAAGUCGAACGGAAAGGCCCUGCUUUUGUGGGGUGCUCGAGUGGCGAACGGGUGAGUAACACGUGAGUAACCUGCCCUUGACCUUGGGAUAACUUCAGGAAACUGGGGCUAAUACCGGAUAGGAGCUCCUGCUGCAUGGUGGGGGUUGGAAAGUUUCGGCGGUUGGGGAUGGACUCGCGGCUUAUCAGCUUGUUGGUGGGGUAGUGGCUUACCAAGGCUUUGACGGGUAGCCGGCCUGGGCGGGUGACCGGCCACGUUGGGACGGGGAUACGGCCCAGACUCCAACGGGAGGCAGCAGAGGGGAAUAUUGCACAAUGGGCGGAAGCCUGAUGCAGCAACGCCGCGUGCGGGAUGACGGCCUUCGGGUUGUAAACCGCUUUCGCCUGUGACGAAGCGUGAGUGACGGUAAUGGGUAAAGAAGCACCGGCUAACUACGUG